CCCUCCUACAAAGGCAUGUCUGUGGUUCUGUCCUCAGACACGGCAGAAGUGAAGGCAGGGAAGUGGACUUGGAGAAGCCUUGGAGAAGCAGCGUGCUUCCGGCAGGCUCAAGAUCAACCUUCUCACAUGU